rnacentral:lncRNA from 1 species
AUGUGGGAUGUCGACACUGCAGGCCAGGGCAUCAACCCACUGCGCCACAGUGCCGGCCCCCAUCCUUAUUUUUCUGAAAAAGAUUUAUUGAUUUAUUUAUUUGAAAGAAGAAUGAGAGAGGGGAGAGAGAGAGGUCUCCCAUCUGCGGUGCACUCCUCCGUGGGCUGGGCCAGGCCACAGCCAGGAGCUCUGACCGGUGGCAGGGGCCAGACUGUUCCAUCGCCCGCUGCCUUCCCCGGAGAGUGCUGGGUCUGCAGCAGGCGGCCAGGACCGGCUCUCACUGCCCGCAGCCCGCCAGCCCCGGUGCUGCUGCAGCAGGUGCACCGGCAGGAUGACUUCCAGGAAGGGGAGGCGCGUGCGGGCGGGGCGCUGAGCCCUGCUGGCCCUCACGCGUCUGCCCGGCCUGGCUCAGGACUCCUGUUGCCCCGGAGCCUCCUGGGCCCGCAGCCCCCGUCUGCUCCAGGUCACCCUGGCGAUUUUGUGCAGGUGGCACCACACAGUAGGCACCCACUUCCGACCUGGCGUCUCCCCGGGGAUUGUUCUGAGGUCCAGCUGCGUGGUGUCGCGGGGCAGCCGUUCCGCCAUCGUCCAUCCGCUCAGCUGCUGCUGGAAGCCGGUUUCAGCAGAGCCGGGGUGAGCACUCGGCCCGAGUCUCUCGUGGAAUCUGCCUCCGCUGCCCCGCGAGUUCCUAGGAGUGGCGUGGCCGACAUACGUGCUUGGUGCCUGCCACAGUGGGGAUGUCCCACAACCAGGCAGCAGCGUGGAUGUGCCACGUCCUCACCGACACGGCGCGUUCUACUGACGCCUGGCUUCACUCUGGUCCUCAUCGCUGCCGCGCCGUCUGCGGUUCCUGGCGCAGCAGUGCCGACGCCGCUGGGGACGCCCACGGCUUCCGCUAGAGCCACCUGGGAGGCAGCAACUGGUGGCCCAAGUGCCCGGGUCCCUGUGUCUCAUGGGGGAGACCCACACGGAGUCCUGGCUCCUGGCCUUGGCGGCCCCGCCCUGGCCAUCGAGGGCGGAGUGAACCAGCGGGGGGGGGGGGGGGCGUCCGUCUGCCUCUCAGGUACAGAUGACACAAGGAGUAAACACUGA